GUGUUAAAGGUUAUUUAUUUUCAUGGUUAAACCGUUUGGUUUUCGACCACUAGGACCCGGGUUCGAUUCCCGCAUUAGACA